GGCGGAGGAGGCGAAGCCACCGGCCUCCGCUCUAGGAAAAGAGGCGUGGUGGGCGCCGGCGCUGGCGGAGCAGCCGCCCGUGGCCGGCCUCGCGCGCCCACCUGCCUACCCCCGGGAGCGGGGUGCACGGUCUCUCCACCCGGGAGCGGGGUGCACGGCCUCCCCCCGGAGCUGCGGCUUCCCCGCGGAGCAGGGUGCACGGCCUCCCCCCCCCCCCCGGGAGCUGCGGUCUCCCCCCUCGGGUCCCGGCGGCGCCGCGCGCACCAGCAGCCCCGGCCCGCCCCGGCCCGUGGGCACCGGCUCCGCAAGGACCCGCGGAGCCCUCCCUCCCCGGGGACGCCGUGCCCAGGCCGGGUGGGUGCGGAAGGCAGGACGCAGGCCCGCGGGAAAGCCUCCCGGGGAGCCCCCGGCCCCGCGCUCCGGGAGCCGCGCGCCGCCCGGGCGCACAAUGAGCGGCCCUCCCCGGCCCCCUGGCCUGGCAGCCCCAUCACGCCACCCGGCCACGUCGAGAGCGACCCAAUCCGGAGCGCAAACGCGGGGGCCGGCCCGACACCUUUGUGCCCACCGAGCGCACACGCGACCUGGCCGGGGCGGGGGGGGGGGCAGCACCUAGCUCGUCACGUUCCAAGCUCCGAACACGCCAUUUUAGACACUUCGCACUUCUCAGCUCGCGGCUGCACGACAAGUGGCCGGGGUCGCCCGGGCAGCCCGCCUCCGCCCCCCGCCGCCCCCCGCCGCCCCCCAGGACGAGCUGACAAUUCAGGCGGCCGCCUCCCAGCCAACUUUCCCGGCGGAACGCGGCCGCGCGCCUCCCUCCGCCGAAGGCGCCCCGGGCGCGACCCCGAGCGGAGGAGAAGCGUCGGGGCCGGACGGGGACGCCGGGGACGGCCGCCCGCAUCCCAGGUGGACGUUACCUGGCCGUUCGCUUUGGAGGGCGACGAGGCCACGGCCGCGUCCCCGGGCCUCUCGGCGGCGGCCUCUCCCUUGGCGGCGGUCUUGGAGAACUGGGCACCCAUGCUGGCUUCUUCAACAAAGAAACUCAACAGAUCCAAGGGGGGGAAACAAAGAGCCUCCGGUUGGUGCAACGACGGGGCGAGCGGCGGCGGCAGCGGCGGCGGCAGCGGCACACACCCCGGAGGGAGGGAGGGGGGAGUGGGGGUGGCGGAGAGGACAGGACAGAACCGACUAAAUACACUCCGGGUAAAAAAACCUGAAGUCCGAGAGCUAAAAAAGCAGCAGCGCAGGAGGGAGGGAAAAAAAAAAAAAAAAAAAAGGGGGAGGAAAAGAGUCGAGCACGAAAAAAGGAGCCCAAGUGUAGCCUUUCUUUAA
rnacentral:lncRNA from 1 species